rnacentral:rRNA from 1 species
AUACGGAGGGUCCAAGCGUUAUCCGGAUUCAUUGGGUUUAAAGGGUCCGCAGGCGAGAAAAUAAGUCAGUGGUGAAAGCCUACAGCUCAACUGUAGAACUGCCAUUGAUACUGUUUUUCUUGAGUAUAGAUGAAGUGGGCGGAAUAUAUCAUGUAGCGGUGAAAUGCAUAGAUAUGAUAUAGAACACCGAUUGCGAAGGCAGCUCACUAAACUAUUACUGACGCUCAGGGACGAAGCGUGGGGAGCGAACAGGAUUAGAAACCCUAGUAGUCC